UGGGAGGUAGUUUAAUUGGCAGAACAUCGGACUCUGGAUCCGAGGGUCGAGGUUCGAGUCCUCGCCUCCCAA
rnacentral:tRNA from 1 species